rfam:Triticum aestivum genome assembly, contig: Triticum_aestivum_CS42_TGACv1_scaffold_032244_1BL
UAAAUACUCCCUCCGUCCGGAAAUACUUGUCAUCAAAAUAAAUAAAAGGAAUGUAUCUAAAUGUAUAAAAGGGGUUGUAUCUAGAUGUAUUUUAGUUUUAGAUACAUUCCUUUUUGUUCAUUUUGAUGAUAAGUAUUUUCGGACGGAGGGAGUACUUA